GACGAACGCUGGCGGCGUGCUUAACACAUGCAAGUGGAGCGACGAACCGGGCUUCGGCCCGGGGCAAAGCCGCGAACGGGUGAGUAUCACGUGGGUAACCUGCCCCGAUGACCGGGACAACCCGAGGAAACUCGGGCUAAUACCGGAUGUGCUCCCCGCACACCAGUACGCGGAGCAAAGGAAUCUUCGGCCUCCGCCUUGGGAUGGGCCCGCGGCCCAUUAGCUUGUUGGUGAGGUAAAGGCUCACCAAGGCGACGAUGGGUAGCUGGUCUGAGAGGACGAUCAGCCACACUGGGACUGAGACACGGCCCAGACUCCUACGGGAGGCAGCAGUGGGGAAUCUUGCGCAAUGCGCGAAAGCGUGACGCAGCAACGCCGCGUGAGGGAAGAAGGCCUUCGGGUUGCAAACCUCUUUCAGGAGGGACGAAGGUUCAGGCGCGAAUAGCGUCCUGGACUGACGGUACCUCCAGAAGAAGCCCCGGCUAACUACGUGCCAGCCGCCGCCGUAAUAC
rnacentral:rRNA from 1 species